UCAGAGUGCUGUUGGGAAUGAAGAUU
rnacentral:piRNA from 1 species